rnacentral:sRNA from 1 species
GCAAACUUCCGUUGCUUUCGAUGAGCAUGGACUGGUAUCGAGGACGUUUCGGGUCACUGAGUGGUUAAUACGGCAUGUAUACAUAUAUAAAGUAUAGGGAGAAGUCAUUGGAUCAUUUUGUGACCUAGAUCUCGCCAGAAACCGGUAGGCAAAGGGUAUAAAUUGCUGAAAAUAAACUGUGAAUUGAGCCCCCCCCCCCCCAUAAAUUCAAGAUGGCGAGUGUCGUCCCUUUCCUUUUUUUGAUGUACGUAUGAUACACAUUUUUAAAAACGGCGAUAAAGGGGGAUUUUAACGGCGGAUUUUAUUUCGAUACCAUAGAACAUAUAUUGAAUGACCAUUUACGUAUAUUUUUUUAUUCGGGAAUAAAUUGUUAUAAAUUUCAGUGUCUGACAACCGAGCCCCUGUGGGAUAGAACAGGAAUUUUCGGAAUCUUCAUUAUCGGAAGGCUUGAAUGAGGUUUAGGAUCCUGUAUAUCAGAGAGAACACGAUAAAAUUUUGCAAGUUUCACCUUGUAAGAACUGACACGUAUUUGGUGACAAGUAAACAUUUUGAGGUACAUAGGACACAUGUCUCCAUCAAUAACUGUUAUGAUGUACUUGCUCCUUUCUUUAGAUUUGUCCCGGUCACAGUAAAGGUAUACCAGAUUUCC